rnacentral:rRNA from 1 species
GAUUAACGCUGGCGGCGUGCAUAACACAUGCAAGUCGAACGAUGAAACUUAGUCGACUUCUUCGGAAAGACACUAAGCGGAUUAGUGGCGAACGGGUGAGUAACGCGUGAGUAACCUGCCUUACACAAGGGGAUAGCCUUUGGAAACGAAGAAUAAUACCCUAUAAAACUAUAAAAGCACAUGCUAGAAUGGUCAAAGUGCUAGCGGUGUAAGAUGGACUUGCGUCUGAUUAGCUAGUUGGUGAGAUAAAAGCUCACCAAGGCAACGAUCAGUAGCCGGCUUGAGAGAGUGUACGGCCACAUUGGGACUGAGACACGGCCCAGACUCCUACGGGAGGCAGCAGUGGGGAAUUUUGCACAAUGGGGGAAACCCUGAUGCAGCGACGCCGCGUGAUUUAGAAGGCCUUCGGGUUGUAAAAAUCUUUUGUAUAGGAAGAAAAUGACAGUACUAUACGAAUAAGGUCCGGCUAAUUACGUG